rnacentral:rRNA from 1 species
UACGAAGGGGGCUAGCGUUGUUCGGAAUUACUGGGCGUAAAGGGUGCGUAGGCGGGUCUUUAAGUCAGGGGUGAAAUCCUGGAGCUCAACUCCAGAACUGCCUUUGAUACUGGGAGUCUUGAGUUCGGGAGAGGUGAGUGGAACUGCGAGUGUAGAGGUGAAAUUCGUAGAUAUUCGCAAGAACACCAGUGGCGAAGGCGGCUCACUGGCCCGAUACUGACGCUGAGGUGCGAAAGCGUGGGGAGCAAACAGG